CACACGUUUCCUUAAAUUCAGGGUCCUGCUCACAUGGGAAAUGCUUUCUGAGAGUCAUGGACCUCACAUGCAAGAGCAUGAAACACCUGUGGUUUUUCCUCCUCCUGGUGGCAGCUCCCAGACGUGUCCUGUCCCAGGUGCAGCUGCAGCAGUGGGGCCCAGGACUGGUGAAGCCUUCGGAGACCCUGUCCCUCACCUGCGAUAUCUAUGGUUACUCCAUCAGUAGUGGUUACUGGUGGAGCUGGAUCCGCCAGCCUCCAGGGAAGGGGCUGGAGUGGAUUGGGAGAAUCUAUUAUAGUGGGAGCACCUACUACAACCCGUCCCUCAAGAGUUGAGUCACCAUAUCAGCAGACCCGUCCAAGAACCAGUUCUCCCUGAGGCUGAACUCUGUGGCCGCGACAGACACGGCCGUGUAUUACUGUGCAAGACACAGUGAGGGGAGGUGAGUGUGAGCCCAGACA